GAUGAACGCUGGCGGCGUGCUUAACACAUGCAAGUCGAACGGAAAGGCCAGUGCUUGCACUGGUACUCGAGUGGCGAACGGGUGAGUAACACGUGGGUGAUCUGCCCUGCACUUCGGGAUAAGCCUGGGAAACUGGGUCUAAUACCGGAUAGGACAAUGGUUUGGAUGCCGUUGUGGAAAGUUUUUUCGGUGUGGGAUGAGCUCGCGGCCUAUCAGCUUGUUGGUGGGGUAAUGGCCUACCAAGGCGUCGACGGGUAGCCGGCCUGAGAGGGUGUACGGCCACAUUGGGACUGAGAUACGGCCCAGACUCGUACGGGAGGCAGCAGUGGGGAAUAUUGCACAAUGGGCGCAAGCCUGAUGCAGCGACGCCGCGUGGGGGAUGACGGCCUUCGGGUUGUAAACUCCUUUCGCUAGGGACGAAGCGUAUUUGUGACGGUACCUGGAGAAGAAGCACCGGCUAACUACGUG
rnacentral:rRNA from 1 species